GGUUAAGCGAAUAAGCGUACACGGUGGAUGCCUAGGCAAUCAGAGGCGAUGAAGGACGUGCUAAUCUGCGAAAAGCGUCGGUAAGGUGAUAUGAACCGUUAUACCCGACGAUAUCCGAAUGGGGAAACCCAGUAUCCAAUGGAUACUAUCAUUAACUGAAUUCAUAGGUUAAUGAGGCGAACCGGGAGAACUGAAACAUCUCAGUACCCCGAGGAAAAGAAAUCAACCGAGAUUCCCCUAGUAGCGGCGAGCGAACGGGGAGCAGCCCAGAGUCUUAAUCAAUGGCAGUGUCAGGAGAACGGUCUGGAAAGUCCGGCAGUAAAGGGUGAUAGCCCCGUAUCUGAAGAUGCUGUUAUUGUGA
rnacentral:rRNA from 1 species